rnacentral:misc_RNA from 1 species
UAAACAGUGUAAAUUUCUCACAGACUCAGACAGACACUGCAGCAAGUCCUGGAAAGUGUUGAUCUCAGACGAGCAAUGAAUCGAGAUUUUUUUUUUUUUUCUUUUUUUAACUUCAUUCCAGUGUCGAACAUUUUUUUUCGUUUUUUGUUUUGUUUAUAGCAGAACAAUUUUUUUGUUCACAUAGUCAAACAUAUACCCGUGCUACACAUACAGGGUGAUGCAUAAUGGUGUACCAUAGUGUGUCUGUCUGUGAAACUUGAUGAUUAAGUGAUGAUCGUGGAUGUGUGUAACCAUGUGUUGAUGUAUAGAGCUACAUAUUGGAUGGACACAUUUAAAAUGCGCAUUCAACUUUUAGUGUAGAUACAUGUACAUGUAGCUAUCAGCAUAGGAAAUAUAAUAAAUUGAUUUAUUAAUUAAUUUAUUUUGUUUAUAUGAUAAUAAAACUUAUUAUUUCAGAGGUUAAGCAAAAAGUAAUGCACUUGACGUGUAGUUGUACAUAAUCUUGCAAUGGCCAUGCAAUGCAAGUGAAUCUCAUGUUAAUAGCAAGGGAAAUAACUCAAAUAAGAUUUUGUGUUGUAUUUUUUUUUUAUUCUUCAAUUUUGUUAUUUUUGUACAAUUUGUGGGUCAUUAUUUUGCAACAUUAAUUUUGCUUUCUUUUUUAACUGUUUAACUUGUUUAACUGUUUAAACUUUGUUAAUUAUUCUUACCAGGGUACAUCUUUGUUUUAUUUGUGCUUGUAAAACAAUUCAAGUUCACUGUCAAGUUGUCAGACUUCAUUUUUAUUUUCUCUUUUGGUUUUCUUUUUUUUUUUUGGAAUAUAGGUAAUAUUACAAUGUAUUGUAAACCCUCAAUGAAGAAAAUUUAAAUGUUCAAAUGUUUUGUUUUGUAAGUUGUAUGUAAAUAUACAUUUAUGUCAUAGUUUAUAAGUGAAAGGCUAAUUCUGAAUGAUGGUUAUGAUAUGACAGCAUUGCUUAUUUCAUUACAACUGGAAAAUGUUGAUAAGAAAUUCUGCAGGGAAAAUGAUUUGUUUUGCAUGUAAAUCUAUGCAGUAUGGUAUUGUGUAAGUUUAACUUUUAAUGAAGGCAGUUUUGUGUUGCUGUUAAUGAUUAGAAUAAAACUCAAAACAU